rnacentral:rRNA from 1 species
GAAUACGUUCCCGGGCCUUGUACACACCGCCCGUCACACCAUGGGAGUUUGUAACGCCCAAAGUCGGUGGCCUAACCUUUGUGGAGGGAGCCGCCUAAGGCGGGACAGAUGACUGGGGUGAAGUCGUAACAAGGUAGCCGUAGGAGAACCUGCGGCUGGAUCACCUCCUUUCUAAGGAA